GCCGAAGUGGUGAAAUUGGUAGACACGCAACGUUCAGGGCGUUGUGCUCGCAAGGGCAUGGGGGUUCGAGUCCCCCCUUCGGCAC
rnacentral:tRNA from 2 species